AGAGAAAAAAUUUACUUCAGCAACAUAACUUCAAAAACUAAUUUUAAUGAAAAUAGCAUUUAAAACCACAGGAUGAAUCAUUAUAUCCAUCUUCAGUGGUAAUGUUGCAUCUUUAGGGCUUGUAGGUUUAGUUCAGUCAGACAAAGUCAGAGAGCCGUGUCUCUCUACAGUGAGAGGUUUUUGUACGGCGGCUCAAUGAGUUUGUAUCACUGUGGUACACGUUCGGUGGAGGAACCAGACUGGAUGUUGGAAGUGAUGCCCCUCCCACCCUGACGGUGCUGCCCCCCUCCAGGGAGCAGCUGCAGCAGGGGACGGCCACGCUCAUGUGCCUGGCCAACAAGGGCUUCCCCUCAGACUGGAGUCUGUCCUGGAAGGUGGACGGCAGCAGCAGCAGCAGCAGCUGGGAGCAGAGCAGCAGCCCCGGGGUGCUGGAGAAGGACGGCCACUACAGCUGGAGCAGCACCCUGAGGCUCUCUGCAGACCAGUGGAGGAAGGUGGGCUCUGUGACCUGUGAGGCCACCCAGGGCUCCCAGACUCCGCUCUCAGAGACUCUGAGGAGAGACCAGUGUUCCCAGUCCUGAUCUGACUCACUGCUUUUACUCUGCUACUGCUCUCAGUCUGCUCUCUUUCUCUGGUUCUCUCAUGAUGUUUCAACAUUAACUUGUUCUUGCUUGUGUUGAUAGUUUUAACAUUUUCAAACAAUAAAGAAUUCAAUCGUUUAUUAUAAAAGUGACCAGUCUUUUGAAGUCCUUUCUUUCACAUGUGUUAUAUUUUCGGAGCAUGAAUCAGAAUAAUGUGCCAA